rnacentral:rRNA from 1 species
AUUGAACGCUGGCGGCAGGCUUAACACAUGCAAGUCGAGCGGGGUGAUGGUGCUUGCACUAUCACUUAGCGGCGGACGGGUGAGUAAUGCUUAGGAAUCUGCCUAUUAGUGGGGGACAACAUCUCGAAAGGGAUGCUAAAACCGCAUACGUCCUACGGGAGAAAGCAGGGGAUCACUUGUGACCUUGCGCUAAUAGAUGAGCCUAAGUCGGAUUAGCUAGUUGGUGGGGUAAAGGCCUACCAAGGCGACGAUCUGUAGCGGGUCUGAGAGGAUGAGCCGCCACACGGGGACUGAGACACGGCCCAGACUCCUACGGGAGGCAGCAGUGGGGAAUAUUGGACAAUGGGGGGAACCCUGAUCCAGCCAUGCCGCGUGUGUGAAGAAGGCCUUAUGGUUGUAAAGCACUUUAAGCGAGGAGGAGGCUCUUUUGGUUAAUACCCAAGAUGAGUGGACGUUACUCGCAGAAUAAGCACCGGCUAACUCUGUGCCAGCCGCCGCCGUAA